rnacentral:sRNA from 1 species
ACUGGGCGCAGUGGCGCAUGCCUGUAAUCCCAGCAACUUAGGAGGCUGAAGCAGGAGGAUCGCAAGCGCAAAGCUAACCUAGGCAAUUUAGCAAGGCUCUGAGCAACUUAGUGAGACCCUGUCUCAA